rnacentral:pre_miRNA from 1 species
GAACUACUCCCUCCGUUCCAAAAUAGAUGACUCAACUUUGUACUAAAGUUAGUACAAAGUUGAGUCAUCUAUUUUGGAACGGAGGGAGUAUAUC